rnacentral:snRNA from 1 species
UGUCCUCCAUAGGAGGUCUAUAUUGAGCAGAUUCUUUUUGGUAUUGGGUGGUGGAACCGGAGCGUGCUCCAUCUACUCUAUGCAUUGACCUGGUAUUGCAGUGCUUCCAGGACCGGUGC